rnacentral:lncRNA from 1 species
UUUUUUAAAGUUUUAUUGAAGUAUAGUGGUUUUACAAUGCUAUGAUAAUUUCUGCUAUACAAUGAAGUGAUUCAGUUAUGCACAUAUAUACGUCUAUUCUCUUUCAGAUUCUUCUUUUUUUUUUUUGUCUUUUUGCUAUUUCUUUGGGCUGCUCCCGCGGCAUAUGGAGGUUCCCAGGCUAGGGGUCGAAUCGGAGCUGUAGCCACAGGCCUACGCCAGAGCCACAAGGGACCGAACCUGCAACCUCAUGGUUCCUAGUCGGGUUCGUUAACCACUGCGCCACAAUGGGAACUCCCUCUUUCAGAUUCUUUUCCCAUAUAGAUAAUCACAGAAUAUUGGGUAGAGUUCCCGGUGCAGCAGGUCCUCAUUGGCCAAUGAUUCCAUAUACCUCAGUGUACAUAUGACAGUCCCAAAUGCUCAGUCCAUCCCUCCUCCUACCUGUCCCUGUAACCAUAAUUUUUCAAGCUCUGUGAAUCCUCUUUGCACUGCAAACAAGUCCAUUUGUAUCUUUUUUUAGAUUCAUGUAAAUGACAUAUAAGUUUCAUCACAUGAUUCACAUGUAAGUGGCGCCAUUUGAUGUCUUUCGCUGUCUGACCAACUUCACCUUGUAUGAUAAUCUCCAGGUCCAUACCUGUUGCUGCAAUUGCCAUUACCUCAUUUGUUUUUAAUGGCUGUGUAAGAAGGAAAUAAAUAUUUCUGAGCGAUAGUCUACCACAUAAGAAGAGGGGUCAGAGGAAAAAGAAAUUAAGGGAGCCCACAUCUAACUUCUUUCCUGGGCUGUGCAUUCUUACUUUUCUUUUACUCUUGGAUUUUCUUUUAUUUUUUAUUUUUUACUUUAAUGAUUUUUAUUUUUUGUCCAUUAUAAUUGGUUUACAGUGUUCUGUCAAUUUUCUACUAUACAGCAACGUGACCCAGUCACACAUACAUAUAGACAUUCUUUUUUCUCAUAUUGUCAUGCUCCAUCACAAGUGACCAGAUAUAGUUCCUGGUGCUACACAGCAGGAUCUCUUAUCCAUUCCGAAGGCAAUAGUUUGCAUCUAUUAACCCCAAAUUCUCAGUCUAUCCCACUCCCUCCCCCUCCCCCUUGGCAACCGCAAAACUUCUCCAAGUCCAUGAUUUUCUUUUCUGUGGAAAGGUUCAUUUGUGCCGUAUAUUAGAUUCCAGAUAUAAGUGAUAUCAUAAUGGUUUUUGUCUUUCUCUUUCUAACUUACUUACCUAGUAUGAGAGUCUCUAAUUCCAUCCAUGUUGCUGCAAAUGGCAUUAUUUUGUUCUUUCUUAUGGCUGAGUAGUAUUCCAUAGUGUACAUAUAUUACAUCUUCUGUAUAUUCAUUGCAGCGCUAUUCACAAUAGCCAAGACAUGGAAACAACCUAAAUGUCCAUCGACAGAUGAAUGGAUUACUUUUGGAUUCUCUAAGCCUUAGCAAGAGUGCUGUUGAUUUGGGUGGGGUCACUAGUGUGAGCGGAUUAGACAGAACUGGCUACAAGGCAUUGUUAUUUCCUAUUCAGAAGGAUCCACAUAGGGACUGCAGACAAUUAUGAGGAAACCCACCUGACAGGAGGCACUCACUUUGAACCCCAGCCUUUUCAUGCCAGCAUCAUGGGUGUAAUUUGAGAGGCCUUAUAAUUUCUGACUAUGGUGUCACUCUUCAUGUAGCUGAAACAUUGAGAGAGAAGGGAUCUGGAGAAAUGUGAAGAAUCGGUGGCAUUUGAAUGGUUGUCUCUACUCUUUUAUCGCUUGCAUUCACUAUUUUGUGUCUUAAGUUUAUUAAUCAGCCUGAGAUGAGGAGAUAAAAACACAUUGAUAAAAUUACAGGGAGCCAGCCAGUAAUUAUCAUCAAAGAGUACAACUGAAAACACAUUUAAAUAUUUAUCUUCGAGAAUUGCGGUGUGUGAGUUUCUGGCACUUGCGGUGAGCCACGGUUUGGGAGACAGUGACCUCUCGUUUCUGGUCCUUUUGAUGACUGUCAGAGCCGGCAAGUUUUCUGCCUGGAAUCCAUCUUCCCUGGCAGUGCCAGGCACAUGGCAAUGACUCGAUGCGUUUUCAUGGAGUGAAUAAACUGUAAAAUUGGAACAGAACAGUCCCUGGAAAUAUGAAAGAUAUGAAUGAAAUGACAUUUAAGAGAAUCUGGAGUCUUAGAGGUAAAAAAUCCUGGAUUCUCCCUGCUUUGAAUGGAAUGUAAAUUCAAGACUAUUUGAUUUUGUACAAUGUCAGGAUUCUAAAUAUCCCCAGAUUACACAAAUAAGCUUUUCUCCCCCCGCACCGCCACCCAGUGACCUCAGGUACAGAAUUUUGUGGCUCUUCCAAAUAGAGCAUGUUCUGUGCAGAAAGGGUUUUGUUCUUAGCAUCAUAUGUUUUUUAUUGACUGCUUGGGCAAUGCAGAUCUGAUUCCUAUGUUAAGAGAGUGCCAAUAACUUAAUUACAUUUAUCACCCAGGAUUCUUUCUCUGUUCAUAGCAACUGAAUAUUUGGGGUUUUUGUGUGUUACAUGUGUAUUUCCCUCAUUGCAGUGAAUAUGGUUUUUAUAUUUAUAUGAAACUGCUAAUGUGUUGCUCGCUAGAUCGUGAGCAAUGGGUUUCUGACAGCUCUGUUCAUUAGUCAGUGUGGGGGAAAAAAAAUAAAAGAAAACACACUGAUAUAGAAACAGAGUGUGAGCCAGCAAUUACCAUCAGAGAGCACAAUUGAAGCCACAUUUUAUUUAAAUAUUUAUCUUGUGAAUUGAUUCAUGCAAAACAAGAAGCGCUUUUUGUGUUGUUUUUUUUUAAAUUUAUGAAUGACUUUGCCACUGAAAAUUGAAGAACAAGAUCAGUAUUGGAGUUGAGUUUGAUGCAGUCCACAGCUUAGAGUACGCAGAGUUAACGCCAAAUUAUUCAUUGUGAUGUAUCGUUAAGAUUGCUAUGUGUGAAUGUGUAGUAAGAUGGUAACACCAUGCAGCUGUUCGUUUUGGAAUCCCAACUUUGCAUAGAAGAAGAAGGGGAAAAGCUGAUAGAUAACUUUGAGUGCCAAUAAUAAUAGCAAAUGUUUAGAGAUGCUAACUAACCUUGUUGUAUUUUGUGUAUUAACCCUGCAAGGUGGGUACUAUUAUUCCUUCCACUUGACGGGUGAGGAACUGGAACACAGAUGAAAGGACUUAGCCACUAGGAAGAGUGUGGGACAGGACUUUGGAGGGUCCACCAGGAAGACCCAACUCCUUGCCAGUCCCACUUCCUGCUGGGCACCUCCUGUUGGAGAUUGGCCACUACAUCUCACAUGUCAGUGAGGAUGAAUCAGAUCCUGUGUCUUUGUAUGUCUUCCAGGGGUGGUACUUCCAGGAAUCUUCAGACUAGCUGGCAUCCAUUUCAUUAGCCAAAGGGGGAAGAUUAGGCCAGGAAAACACUGAUAAUGGGGUGACCCACCACCUGUUCUUUUUCUUCCCCAAACAGGAUUGUUAGACAUUUUGCCCCCUGACCUCCUCUCUCUGCUGCCCCACCCAACAAACAGACAGAAUUUCAGCUCACCUCUGUUUGACAGCCAGGUGGUGGACCAGAGUUCAUUUGUGAAUUGCAUUAUAGAGGAGUUUGCAUUAUCCUAGAUAUUUGCAGAAUUAUACUUUAUAUUUUUUAAAAAAGGAUACUCUAUCAUUGGACCUUGAGGUUAUUUACGAUUUGCCAACAUUAUCAACACUGCAAACAUUUCUGAAUGGAUGGCUUUGCCUGCUUAUCUUACUAUUCUUUUAGGACACAUCCCUGGGUGGGUACUGCUGGGUGAAGGCUCUUUGUACACAUUGUUUGCCCUCUCAAAAGUUUGAACCUGUUUGAAUUGCAGCGAGCAGGGAGGGUGAGUGCCACUUUGUUGUUGUUCCAUGUAAUGCGAUGACAGAGCAGAAAAGGCAGGUCAUGGAAUGCAUGAAUUCAGGAAUAAUAAACUUAGGUAAGUGCAUUGUUCUGACCUUGGGUGUUAAUGGCAGCAGCUAAUUUGGUGAAACAGAGGACUUUGGGAAGAAAUGGUAUCGGUAAUUAUAUGUAGAGAGAAAUGCUGUGGAGCAAUAGAUAAAAAAAAUCUCCAUGCACAAUUUUGUGUGAGCACUUGGGACCAGUGGAGGAAACCUGAAGCAAAAUCUUACAAAGAAAUAAGGGCUUGUGGAAGGGACUAUGAUAAGGGAACACUAACUGUUAAUAUUUUAUAGGUGAUAGAAGAUAUAGGAAAAAGAACAAAAAGAUAUAAGCAUGUUGUAAAUAAACCAAGUUAUAAAUUAAGAGAAGGAAAGGAAACAUCCACCUUACUAUCACAUAUAUUGGAAAGAGAUUUACGGGCUGGCUGAGUUUAACCACUUUUUCUAUUUCAAAAACUCCUGCCUGGGGGUUCCCACUGUGGCUCAGCGGGUAACAAACCCGACUAGUAUCCAUGAGGACUCAGGUUUGAUCCCUGGCCUCACUCAGUGUGUUAAGGAUCCAGCGUUGCUGUGAGCUAUGGUGUAGGUCGCAGACACGGUCCACAUCCCAUGUUGCUGUGGGUGUGGUAUAGGUGGUAGCUGUAGUUCUGAUUUGACCCCUAGCCUGGGAACUUCCAUAUGCUGCAAGUGCAGCCCUAAACAAACAAACAAACAAAAGAAGUCCUACAUGAAAACAAGAUGGAUGUAUAAAGCCAGAAUACAAUUGAUUUAUAAUGCUCUUAUAGCAACAAAAAUGUUCACAUUCUUAUGGCUUCUGAGCUCUGUAUUAUCUCCCUAUAGACAGAACUUUGUGGGAAUCCAUAUUAGACUUAGAAAGUUAUUCCAUCACAUAUGGUCAUGGGCAGGAAAAUCAGUCCUGUGACCUUAGAGGAUAGUGUGUUCAUUGAGACUAUCUCAGAGACAAGUGAUUAGAAAUAAAACUU